rnacentral:rRNA from 1 species
UCUGGUGUCGAUAGCUACGGGGCUCCACCUGUUCCCAUACCGAACACAGCAGUUAAGCCCGUAAACGCCGAAAGUAC